GAUGAACGCUGGCGGCGUGCCUAAUACAUGCAAGUCGAGCGAACGGACGAGAAGCUUGCUUCUCUGAUGUUAGCGGCGGACGGGUGAGUAACACGUGGAUAACCUACCUAUAAGACUGGGAUAACUUCGGGAAACCGGAGCUAAUACCGGAUAAUAUUUUGAACCGCAUGGUUCAAAAGUGAAAGACGGUCUUGCUGUCACUUAUAGAUGGAUCCGCGCUGCAUUAGCUAGUUGGUAAGGUAACGGCUUACCAAGGCAACGAUGCAUAGCCGACCUGAGAGGGUGAUCGGCCACACUGGAACUGAGACGCGGUCCAGACUCCUACGGGAGGCAGCAGUAGGGAAUCUUCCGCAAUGGGCGAAAGCCUGACGGAGCAACGCCGCGUGAGUGAUGAAGGUCUUCGGAUCGUAAAACUCUGUUAUUAGGGAAGAACAUAUGUGUAAGUAACUGUGCACAUCUCGACGGUACCUAAUCAGAAAGCCACGGCUAACUACGUG
rnacentral:rRNA from 1 species